GUAGGUGGCAAGCGUUGUCCGGAAUUAUUGGGCGUAAAGCGCGCGCAGGUGGUUCUUUAAGUCUGAUGUGAAAGCCCCCGGCUCAACCGGGGAGGGUCAUUGGAAACUGGGGAACUUGAGUGCAGGAGAGGAAAGUGGAAUUCCACGUGUAGCGGUGAAAUGCGUAGAUAUGUGGAGGAACACCAGUGGCGAAGGCGACUUUCUGGCCUGUAACUGACACUGAGGCGCGAAAGCGUGGUGAGCAAACAGGGAUUAGAUACCCUGGUAGUCCACGCCGUAAACGAUGAGUGCUAAGUGUUGGGGGGGUUUCCCGCCCCUCAGUGCUGCAGCUAACGCAUUAAGCACUCCGCCUGGGGAGUACGGUCGCAAGACUG
rnacentral:rRNA from 1 species